rnacentral:lncRNA from 1 species
AUACUACUUCGUGGUGAACUGUAAAGUAAGAGCAUGUUGGGCCUAGUAAGGAAACAAGUUAGAGUUGAAGACAGUGAGCAAAUGAAGGAAUCAGAGUAAGCAUGGAGGAGCACACGGCUGGCAGGAACAGUUGAAGUGCAGCUGUUCCCUCCAUCCUCCAUUUCCACACCAGGAGGCCCAGGCAGGGCUGGAAAGUGACUCAAGAACCGAUGAACAUGAUGAGUAUCCAGAGCUUAUUCUACAAGCUGGGUCAAAGAAAUAAAAAGCAAAUGAAGAGA